rnacentral:rRNA from 1 species
UUCCCGAAACUAAGUGAGCUACUUUAAAGCAGCUAUUAGAGCUAACCCGUCUCUGUCGCAAAAGAGUGGGGUGACUUUAAAGUAGAGGUGAUAGACCUACCGAACUUAGAGAUAGCUGGUUUUUUAAGAAAAGAAUUUUAGUUCAGCCCCAAGCCUUUCGUUAAGCAAAAAACCUUCUUAGGCCUGGGAGUCAUUCAUAUAGGGCACAGCCUAUUUGAAACAGGAUACAACCUAGAAUAUAGGGUAAAACAAUGUGAUUUUUCUAUAAGUGGGCUUGAAAGCAGCCACCUUUCAAAAAGCGUUGUAGCUUAUUGAUACUGAUUAUUUAAUAACCUCAAAAAUGUUUAACCCAUACACACUAUUAAACUAUCCCAUAAAUUUAUGGGAGCUAUCAUGCUAGAACAAGUAACAAGAAAAAGAUUUUUCUCCAAAAUACAAGCUUUAGCCGCUACAGACAAACUACCGGCAAUUAACGCCU